AUUUGUCUGUGUCUCUGGACCAAAUAAUUGGCUGAGUGCGACCGCUAUUAAUCUCAAACAGUGAAUUCUGUCCUAAUGCAGAAUUGCUGUGGCUAAAGUAGAAUUAGGAAAUUCUGCUUUAGCAAGAUCUGUAAAUAAGUUUUGAUCUCUGGCACCCAGGGUAACCAGGUAAGUGUCAAACUAUUAAAAAAAACAAUUUAACUCCUAAAGGGAUACUAUAGGCAUCAAAUUAACUUAAG